GUCCCCGGCGUCCGGGCGCCCUGCAUGGAUCCCCCACCCCAGCUCCUGCUCCCCGGCGGCGGCCGGUGGGCAGAAAGACCGAAACCCACUCACGGCCGCCUGCCGAAUCGCGGCUCUGCUGUUUGUGGGGCGUGCUAGAAACGUGGUCCUAAAAAGAAUGGCGUCCAUUUACAUAAUGCUUUGUUUGCGUUUCGCAAGUUUCUUUCGGUUAAAGCCACAGAAACCCCACCUCCUGCCCUUGUGUCGUUUCCACCGCGGCACCCUUUUCCGACAUUAGAAACAAUAGUGUACGCCUGUGGAGGCCUCGUUUGUUCAGGGGCUGCCGGCCAGGGCUUCAGGACGUUUCUGCGGCUUUCCCCGCGCGGCCUGGGCUCCCGCGGCUGCUUUUCGGGCCCAUGGGCGCAGCCACUGCGCCAGGCUCAAGGGGGGCGGCCCCGUCAGGGCCCGCCAUCUUGGAAGGCCUUUUUUGCCGGUUCUUCCCGCUGAGGAAGUGUCGCUCAAGACGCUGGCCUAUGAGUUGUGAUUUCUGCCUUUUCCCCUUCCUCCUUGGGCUAAGCCAGACCAGAAAGGGCCCCGUGCGCAACGUGCUUCACAAUCUCUCAGGGAAAGCGGCUAACGUGGCGCUACUCCGCCUCCCCUGUUCCUUACCCUUGGGGCGGCCGCCAUGUUUCCUGAACACAAAAUGGCGACACGUGGUUAGCAUUCGUCGCCAACGAGAAAUUGGGGUCGGCCCGAAAGCUCUAGAAUGCACCCCUCUUCCUCCCCGGGGCCUUCCACCUCCGCGAGUUUUAUGACUUAAAAAAGCCCACAGGCUGGUCUGAAGGUCGGAGGCCUAAUUUUAACGCGUUUUCCUCCCUUUAAUUUGAAACGGGAACGCGAAUGACUGUAAAAUGUGGGCACAAUAUUUAAUCUCUCGCCUUUUUAAAGCUUAAUAGUGGAUAAUAGGGGGGCAGUAUCAAGGGAUAAUUUGGGUCCCCACAGUACCAAAGCAUUUAGAAACCUCUGUUUAAUUUAAGGAAUGAGAUAAGUUACUGCUUUUCUAGACUUCCUAGCAUGGGCUGUUGUGCUGGAGAGAACGAGAGCUACGAAGAGACUACAGUGCCUCUGACUUUUUCAUAGGACAGUUGGCCGAGGAAGACAAACAUAAAGAUGAAGUGCUUAAUUCAAGGUCACACAAUGUCGGGGAUGGACCUCCAGAUUUCCUUACUGGUGAGACGUGGUCUUGUAACACAGUGGUUAAGAAUGUGACUUUGGAGCCAGCCUGCUAGGGGCUGAAUUCUGACUCAGCCAUUUACUAACUGUGUGACCUUAGGUAAGUCAUUUACCUUCUUUGUCCCUCAGUUUCAUCUCGGUUAAGUAGGGAUAAUGAUAGCACCUAUUUUAUAGGGUUAUUGUGAGGAAUAAAUCCAAGUAAAAUGCUUAGAAUAGUAACUGAAACAUAGCACUCAUUAGGAAUGCUUUAAUUUUCAUUUAUUUGAGUAUUAAAGGUUGAAUUUUCAGAGGUAUUUUGGACCUUUGUAUUUUUUCUUUAAAUCACUUAUUCAUGACUUUUGAACUUUUUUUUUUCUUUUAGAGACAGGGUCUUGGUUUGUUGUCUAGGCUGGAAUGCAGUGGUGCAAUCAUAGCUCACUGUAGCCUUGAACUCUUGGGCUCAAGAGAUCCUCCUGCCUCAGCCUCGUGAGUAGCUGGGCCUACAGGCGCCUGCUACCACACCUGGCUAAUUUUUUAUUUUUUGUAGAGAUGGGUUCUUGCAGCCCAGACUGGUCUUGAGCUUUGGCCUGAAGUGCUCCUCCUGCCUUGGCCUCUCAAAGCAUUGGGGUUACAGGUGUGAAGCACUGCACCUUGCCUACACAUUUUUUCCAAUAAUUUUUUUUAUUAAUUUGUAAGAGUUAACAUGUCGACUAUCAUAUAUAACAUAGAAUUGUUCCCAUUUUGUCAUUUCCUUUCAACUUUGUCUAUGUAGCUUUUUUUCUGUGUGCAAAUUUUACAUUUUUAGGUAGUCAGAAAAUCUCUUCCCUUGUAAUUUUUUCUGCUACUAGACCAAUGUUUAGAAAAAAGCGUGCUUCCCCACCUCAAAAUUAUAAAAAUAGUUACUUGUUCUUUUUGAGUACUGUGUGUGUUUAAAUCUUUAAUCUUUAAAUUUAAAUCUUUGAUCCAUCUGGUAUUUAUUUUGAUAUGAAGAGAGUGGUUGGGAUCUGGCUGUAUUUCUUUUUUCUUUUUUUUUCUUUUUUCUUUUUUUGACGAAGUCUCACUGUUGCUCAGGCUGGAGUGCAAUGGCAUGAUCUCGGCUCAUCACAACCUCUGCUUCCUGGGUUCAAGCGAUUCUCCUGCCUCAGCCUCCCGAGUACCUGGGACUACAGGCACUCGCCACCAUGCCCGGCUGAUUUUUGUAUUUUUAAUAGAGAUGGUUUCACUAUGUUGGCCAGGCUGGUCUCGAACUCCUGACCUUGUGAUCUGCCCACCUCAGCCUCGAAAAGUGCUGGGAUUACAGGCGUGAGCCACUGCGCCCAGCCUUGUAUUUUUUUUCAGUUUGGGUAGCUGUCCCUAAUUCAUUUGUUAAAGGAGAAGCAAGAGCAAGAACCUUUAAUCUGUUCUCCUCUUCCCUAAUUUGAAAGUAGCUUGUUAUUUUGAAUAUCACUUUCUCUGAAAUAGCACAUCUCCAUCUCAGAGAAUGGAUUUAAUGUUUGGAUACAGCCAAAAGUCAUUUCAUUACCAAACCAUGGGGUGAAUAUACCAUGUAAAGCAGUUUGGGAUCAGAACUCACAGUCUGAAUUGUAAGUGAUGAGACUGCUGUCUCUCUGCUACAGCUUCUUGGCUGGCUCUGAAGGCUCUUUGAAGGCAGAUCCUAACAAGGGGACUGCUUUGAAGGGCCAUUGUUCAUUUGGAAUGAUAAAGUCUAUGUUGUUCAAAAAACAAAUGCUUGUAGCAGGUAUUUUUUCACUCCAGACUGAGAAUAUUGGUGGGAUAUUGAUAAGGGGUACUGAAUGGUAAUAAACAUGUGCUCUAGCUCUGUGCUAGUCAGCUUAUUUCAGAACUCUAGUUUGAUUCAGUUUCUUGCCUCUGACUCAAAAUGGAGGGAGAGUGAUUUUUACAUAAGAGAACACACCCACAUAUCCUUUUGGCAGCAGCUACCUGCCAGAGAUGUUGAAGAAGAGUAGCCAACCUUUACACAGCAGAUAUUGUGUGCCAGUCAUAGUCCUAAGUAUAAUACCUUACAUGUAUAAACUUCUUAUAAGGUUGGUGCUCUGUACCGAAUUGAAUAGUAUCCCCCAAAAUUCAUGUUGUCCCAGAACCUAUGAAAGUGAUCUUACUUGAGGGAGGGGGGAGGGGGGAGGGAUAGCAUUAGGAGAUAUACCUAAUGCUAAAUGACGAGUUAAUGGGUGUAGCACACCAGCAUGGCACAUGUAUACAUAUGUAACUAACCUGCACAUUGUGCACAUGUACCCUAAAACUUAAAGUAUAAUAAUAAUAAAAUAAAAAAAAAAAAGAAAGUGAUCUUACUUGGAAAUAAGGUCUUUGCACAUAUGAUCAAGUUGAGAUGAAGUUGUACUGGAAAGUCUGUCUAGUGACUGGUGUUGUCAUAAGAAGAGAGGGACACAGAGGGAAGAUGGCCACAUGAAGAUGGAGGCAGAGAUUGCAGUUAUGCUGCUGCAAACUAAGGAAUGGCUCUGGCCCUCCAAGGAUUGCUGAUAACCACCAGAAACUAGAAGAGACAAGGAAGGAUUCUUCCCUAGAGCCUUCAGAGGGAGCAUGGCCCUACUGACACCUGGAUUUCAAACUUGUAGCUUCCUAAACUGCAAGAGAAUAAAUUUCUGUUGUUUUAAGCCA
rnacentral:lncRNA from 1 species